rnacentral:rRNA from 1 species
AGAGUUUGAUCCUGGCUCAGAAUGAACGUUGGCGGCGUGGAUUAGCAUGCAAGUCGAACGGGCCGCAAGGCCAGUGGCGGAAGGGUGAGUAAGGCGACGGUAACCAACCCCAUCGGGUAUAGCCGCGGGAAACUGCGGGUAUCCCCAGCGACGUCCGGAGCGGGCAUCCGCACCGGACCAAAGUCCUGGCGCCGUGGGACGGGCCGUCGUGGUAUUAGGUCGUUGGCGGGGUAACGGCCCACCAAGCCUAUGAUGCCUACCGGGCGUGCGAGCGUGGCCCGGCACACUGGGACUGAGACACUGCCCAGACUCCUACGGGAGGCUGCAGUCGAGAAUCUUCGGCAAUGGGCGCAAGCCUGACCGAGCGACGCCGCGUGGAGGACGAAGGCCUUCGGGUUGUAAACUCCUGUCGAGGGGGAGGAAGGUCAGCAAUGGCUUGACCGAUCCCUGGAGGAAGCACGGGCUAAGUUCGUGCCAGCAGCCGCGGUAAGACGAACCGUGCGAACGUUAUUCGGAAUCACUGGGCUUAAAGCGCGUGUAGGCGGAUGGGGACGUCGGUUGUUGAAAGCCCCCGGCUCAACCGGGGAAUGGGCACCGAAACGCCCCGUCUCGAGGGACGUAGGGGGACCUGGAACUUCCGGUGGAGCGGUGAAAUGCGUUGAGAUCGGAAGGAACGCCCGUGGCGAAAGCGAGGUCCUGGACGUCUACUGACGCUGAGACGCGAAAGCUAGGGUAGCGAACGGGAUUAGAUACCCCCGUAGUCC